GCUCAGUCAGAUAAUUUCUUCUCCUACACUGGGCAGGCAUUUAUGAUCCUAUUUUGAUCCAACAACCCCACUCAGCUACUGAGCAGAAUUUUGGAAUGCGUUCCUGGUUGGGAUGGGUGCGACUUUCUUACUUCGAGCUGCGCGAGGUCAUUAAGUUUGAUUUUUUUCUAAUUUGAAAUGAAAUUUUCCCGAAGAUAAUUUCAUUAUUAUUAAUUAAUGGAAAUAGGUCAAGAAAUAAUUAUAAAAAAAAAUUUGGUGAAUUGAACUUUACUUUCUUUUAAUAUUAAUAUGGCACGAGGAAGUGACGGCUGUACUCUAAAAGAAUAUCGUCAUCUGUCGACAAAAAAGUCUCAGUUCUUUCUCCCUAUGGAGUAACUGUUUAUGUAUAUAUUAACUCUCCGGCUCUCCACGUCGAUUCGUUUUUGUACCAAUAAUAUUGAGUAGAAAUCUCUUCUCAAUAAUAAGCCAUAUAAUCCAAUAUUAAUGAUAACCUUCUGUCUGUUCAAUAUUCAUUCCUUAGAAUACGCAAAAUAAUUGAAAAAAAAAACUGAUCUUCCUCAGGAUAAAGUGUUGGAAACACAACAUGAUAAACACUAUUUAUUUUCUAAAUGAAUUGAUGGUGGUUUCUGUAAAAAGUCGCAAUUUAAUAGAAUCAUCAAGUUCUGUAUAUGUGUGUGUGAGACGCCCGGUACGCGGCUCGAGUGAGUCAUAGCUCUCGAGAUCGGCAGUCUGUACGUUUUUCGCGUCUCUGUCGGUGGCCAAACAAACCCUAAAAUUCCUAGAAAUAACCUGAUUGUGGUUUCAUUGAAGUGUAGCAAUACAAUAAAAAAAAUUCAGUGCUGUAUCACUGUGUGUGCGUUGAGCCGCCCGGUACACGACUCGAGUCAGUCAUAGCUCUCGAGCUAAGCCGUCUGUACGUUUUGUGCGUCCGUUUCGGUAGGCAAAUAAGCCCUAAAGUUUCUAUGACUAAUCAAAGCUCAACACACAUAAUUUUCUAAAUUAAUUGAGAGUGACUUUGUUGCAAAGCCGCCAUACAACAGACAAGUGAAUCGAGUGAGGCAUUGCGUGAGGUGGCGUGAGUUCCGAGAACGCAUUACAGUCGCCACUUUCUUUGAUUUUUUUUUCUCCUAUUGACACGUAUUUGAUGACAAGACGGUUUCAGUGAACUCAGUGUGCCAGUUCAUUACAGAAUGUCGAAUCCUACUUCAAGACGGGAGACAAGUUGUUAUUCACAACUUUACCAAUAUGGUCUUGCAUAAAAGAGGAAUUAAAGAAAGGAGCCAGCAAAAAGAAGAUUCCAGAGUAUAAAGAUGCAGAACUGUUGCAAGGCUUGGGUGGUACCAUCAAUAAUUGUCGUUCCUGGAAGAAUAACAACGAGGACCACAAUGACAAUAAUGGCAGAGAUGAGGAGGCAGCUGGAGGAAAUGUUGUGGAAGAUGGUGCACAAAAUGCAGACGACUGAAUGGACACUAAAAAAUAUGACUUAAAAACAUGUAAAGGUAUUCUUUUAAUAAAUAAAAAUGCUGGUACAUUCCAAAAAUAAUAAAUCAACAA